AAAUCCAAGGGGCAAAGGAAGUGCUGGCUUCUGAUUUGGUGGUCAAAGUAAUUAUUCCUUUUUCCUCUCCCAUUUACAGCAUGCUGACUUUUUGAAAUCUUUUCAUAGAAAAAUUAAAUUACUUUAUCUGGAGUUACACCUUUUCCUAUUUUCAAACAGUGUAUUUUUCUCAAAGAAAUGACUGCAUGUCGUCAUAUUCUUCAUGCUCCAGUAAAACUUUUAUCAGACAAUAUGAUCUAUGUUUAACCAUGAGGAGAGAAAAAGUGAUCUUCAUUUUUACAUUUGCUAUAUGGACAUUUUCUUUUAAUUGGCUAGGAAAAAUUUGUUCUACAUGGUCCAUAUAUAUCCAGAGUACCCACACGUGAACAUUUACUGCUAGAAUGGAAAGAAGGUAUGGAACUUAGUCUGGGACUAAAUGUUCAGUGAUCUUCUGACACCUGAAGGCGCAAUGACUUACACUGACAUACGUGCUAUUUCUAGAGAGGGCAUGACUAUUUUGGAGAAAGCAGCUUUGGGCUGAGUGGCGAGUAGCUUUACCUACUCUAAAAUAAGUUCUUAAGGUGCGAGCCCCUAUGGUUAAUCCAACAUUAGGUGUUCAUGAAGCUGACCUUUUAAAGACAUCAGGAACGCUGAUUAGUUUUAUUUACCCAGCCCAAAAUCCAGAGUUGCUAAAUAAACUUUCCCAAAGAAAAACUACAGUUCUGGCAAUGGACCAGGUUCCAAGAGUCACAAUUGCUCAGGGAUAUG
rnacentral:lncRNA from 1 species